rnacentral:rRNA from 1 species
GCAAGUCGAGCGGUAAGGCCACUUCGGUGGUACACGAGCGGCGAACGGGUGAGUAACACGUGAGCAACCUGCCCUUCUCUUUGGAAUAAGCGUUGGAAACGACGUCUAAUGCCGAAUAUGACCUCUUUUCGCAUGAUUUGAGGUGGAAAGCUCCGGCGGAGAGGGAUGGGCUCGCGGCCUAUCAGCUAGUUGGUGUGGGUAAUGGCCCACCAAGGCGACGACGGGUAGCCGGCCUGAGAGGGUGACCGGCCACACUGGGACUGAGACACGGCCCAGACUCCUACGGGAGGCAGCAGUGGGGAAUAUUGGACAAUGGGCGAAAGCCUGAUCCAGCAACGCCGCGUGAGGGAUGACGGCCUUCGGGUUGUAAACCUCUUUCAGCGGGGACGAAGCGAAAGUGACGGUACCCGCAGAAGAAGGACCGGCCAACUACGUGCCAGCAGCCGCGGUAAUACGUAGGGUCCGAGCGUUGUCCGGAAUUAUUGGGCGUAAAGGGCUCGUAGGCGGUCUGUCGCGUCGGGAGUGAAAACUCAGGGCUCAACCCUGAGCGUGCUUCCGAUACGGGCAGACUAGAGGUAUGCAGGGGAGAACGGAAUUCCUGGUGUAGCGGUGGAAUGCGCAGAUAUCAGGAGGAACACCGGUGGCGAAGGCGGUUCUCUGGGCAUUUCCU